UGUUGAAAUAGUCACAGCACUGUGUUGCAGUGCAGGCAAACUCCUGCUUGCCAUGAGACUCGGGAUAUCCUGCAGAGAAACAGAAACACCAGCCUUGACAAAGCAUCCAGCUAAAUGUCCUUCAAAUCCUUGAUUCUAAAGAUCCAGUUUGGGUGUGAUUCUAGCAUGCACUGGACCUGGAGUACAUGCCCCACUCAGCACUGCUGUGCUCAAAGAAGUGGUUGAUAACAGAGUGCUAGCAAGGUCAGUAAAUGAGGCAAGGUCAGUAAAUGUACUUGCCAUGUAUAUGUUUCUAGCAUUUUCUCAUUCUGUGGGAAAAAUAAAAUAAAAUAAAUUAUGGAUUACCUAUGCAUAGCAUUUUGGAGAAAGUCUGUCACAUGAAGAACUUCUAUUAUGAUACAUAAAGCUUUGCUUCUUAUCAAAAUGUGAAGCACGAACAAGUCAACCAAUCCACACAGUUAAACUUGUUUUUUCAGUUGAUCCUGAACAGUACAAAUGGCAAACCAAGGCACUAUUACAUCACUCUGGGAUGCAACCUCAUAACAAGGGUAAACUGGUCUGUGUCUGUUAGCAGCUGGUACUCACUUUGCAAUACGCCUUGUCAAAUAUACCUUGCUUGGAAAGGCGAGCCCCCUGGAAAAAUGGCAAAGACAGAUCAAGCAUCCUCUUGCACAGGUAGCUGCCACCCUCCGUGAUUAGGAUUCUAUUCACUGUUGCCUUUCUGCAGAUACUCUUCUCUGCUGAGGACUGCAUGUACUAAUUCAUUUUUCUGGAUACAAAACAGAAAGAAACUCCUAUUAGCCUGUAAGGGAUUCUCUCUUACCUCUUCAUC
rnacentral:lncRNA from 1 species